UUGAAGAUUAUUGCGAUGUUUGAACGAAGGGACGAAGGUUGUUGGGGUUGGAACUUGCUAGAGCUAGACGCGCGAUUCAGCGAGCGGCUACUGUUCGUAACCUUCUUUCUCAGCUUUUGCAAAACGGUGACGUUUUGUCCGGUAAUAUCUAUCAUAACCCAACGAGUUUUAUCAAUGGAAAAGGUGAAAACACGAGAAAAUUCAAUACUACUAAGACAAUGUCUCAGGAUUAGCUUAGUAAGGGAGGUCUUUGUGGUAUACACUCAUCAUAUUUGUCCUUGCUAGCAAGGUCUCAUAUUAAGUAAACUGUUUUUCUAUUAUCUUUAUAAGAUUUGUUGCAAG